GCGGUUUCAAGUCAAAAAUCCCCUAGCAAUUUAUAAUUCCCCAUCGUGGGGCAGAGGCUUGUUCUCUGCCCCCAGGAUAUGACUGUGUCGCGGCCCCUCGUUCAACCAUCAAGAUGAAUCGACGAACGGCGGUGUCAUCGCGAUAAACCCACUCAUUGUCGUUGUCUAAUUAUACAUUUCGACAAAUUUAAAUCUAUUUAGACAGACUGUUGGCGUGGAAAAUGAUUAAUGCUGUGCUCCUAGCCAUUUCAAACGAACAAGAGGACAAAUUCGAAGUGGAUAAAACAGUUACUCAGGAAACACUUCUACCGUAUUUUCAACAACGCCUUUCUCCAAAAUAAAAACCCCAAUUAGAUUUAGGGCGGGUACUUGUAGUGUAGAGAGUUCCACUGGCUCUAAUUCACAAUUAUAUUAAAGUGUGACGAGCGAGGCAGCCGAAAUUAGUGUGUCCGGAUGCAGUGCACCGAAAUCCGGCUGAAAGGGCCGGGCGGCGUGGGAGGCAGCAGGCUAAAGAAGAAGAAGGAACAGUGUCACCGGAAUCCAAAGAGGGACGUGUCCCGACUUUUAAUUAGAUGCGCUCCCCAAUCGAUACACAACAGCGACGUAACCACGUGUACACACAACAGAGACAAUAAAGCUCUGUUCGUUCCGAGGAUGAUUCAGUCUAAAACUUAUGAUUGGAAAAUAUUUUUUACUUAUUGUACAAAAAUAAAUUGGAAUUAUUUUAGUAUA